GAAAAAAUUAUCAAAAAUGAUCACAGAUAUAAAUUGGUUGAGUGUUAAGCAACAGGUUUUCUAUCAUGCUAUGAAAUUCGUAUACAACAUAAAGAACGGUAAACUUCCAGACUAUCUGAGCGACAAUCUUCGGUAUAUAAAUGAAACUCAUUCAUAUAUACUCAGGGAAAACAAUUGCUUUAGACUCCCACUUUAUAGAACA